rnacentral:lncRNA from 1 species
AGAAAUCGUAUGCGCUACAUGCGUCAUUGCAAUUAUUCAAACGCUCCUAAUUGAUUUCACGCAAAAGCUGUAUAAAAUUGUAAUCGAGUCUUCGUUUACAUGCCUUAUCUAUACUGUUAUGGAUUUUUUAUUUAUACAGCAUUUAGUAUUUGUUUUUAAAAAAACAGAACUUAGACCGAUGGAAGAUUUUUGGAGUGAAAUCAAACGAACAGUUUAUGCUAAAUGCUGGCAAGCUGAAACUUUGGAACAACUUUGUAAUAGAAUUGACUACUGCUUAAAAAACUUAGAUCCUGAUUUAGUACAACGAUUUGGAUGAUUGUCUUUAACUAGAGUUGAUGCAGCUCGGCGAAAUGGAAUCCAAAACUUAUAAUUUUUUAUUUAAUUUUAUUUGAAUGAUAAUAUUUUUUAUCGUUUUUUAAAAAAAAAAAAUCUUUAUCCGUUAAAAAGUUAUUAAAUUUUUUCUUUUUGUCCAGAUUUAAUCGGUCAGAUGUUAGCAAAUUUCACUGCCACUUUACAAAAUAUGAUUCCCUGCAGUAUGCCUGUUAAAAAUAAAAACUGAAGAAACUUUAGAACUAGAUGAUGACAACUGAAGUUGAAAAACCGUUAUUCAUGGUGUCAUAUCGAGGCUUCAGUUCUCCAGUAUUUAUUUUUGUAUUUUAUUAUAUAUGUUAUGUUUGUUUUAUUUUUUAUUUUUGCUGCUUUUGUAACAACAAACUAUGUGAAUAUUUGUGAAUAAUUGUCCUGCCCUGGGCCUCUACUUCAAUCUGGCUAUUGUUAUAACACGAAUAUCGAUUUAUAUACUUUAUUGAGUUAGCUUUUGAUUUGUACAUGUGUUUUUGUUUUCCUAGUGUUUGUUAGUUACAUGCAAAAUACGGCAUGGUAUGGCACACUGUAUGAUAUGCCCUAAAUAAUAUUAUCAAUAAAUAUUUUAAUCUAUACUUUGUAAAUAUAUAUGCUUUAAAUUAUUAUAUUAUUCAAAUGUUUAUUUUAAGUUUAUUAAAUUUGUGUAAAAGUGGAUGAAAGCACUAAAGAAAAGUUACGAUAAACUUUAAAGCAGAUUUUUGUCAUGCGGUUAUGGUGGCAAUACGUGAGAACUAAUGUGGCAGAAUAUUACUAUCGUAAAACAGUUUUGCAUCAAAUCAUUGUAUAAUAUUAGUUUUUUGUUGUUUAAAAAUAUUAUGAAAUUCAAA